AUCCGAGUAAAUUUUCUUUUUAGCGAAGUUUUACAUUUAACAAAUAUUCUGCCAAAUCCGAGAGAAAAGAAUUUGUUAAAAAUAAACUUUCCUUUAAAAAAAAUGCAAUGAAAAUACUCGAAAUAUUACAUCUAUGACGUAAAACUCGUGACGUAACGCGUGACGCAUUGCAACGACAAUUUCGAAUUCGUUCCAUUUCGUAUUGUUGCCGACGCCAUCUUGGAAAUUUAUGCUAUCCGGAAAUUGCGAGUUCUUUUUCCCUCCAUUUUAACAUUUUUCGUACAAAUUUUAAUAAUGAAAACUCGCGUAACGUAGAAAGAAGUAUCAUUCUCAAAUUUUAUAAUCCACUUUCCAAAGAAACAUGGAAUCAUUUUAAAAACUUCUUUGCUCAAAAAAUUAACAAAGGAAAGAUUUAACUGAUUGUGAGCACUUAAAGCCAGGAGUUGUGUGACAUCAUUUAGGCUUCUGACAUACCAAUAGAGCAGCUAUGUGACAUGUAUGUAUGAAAAUUACUUUGUGGAUAAUCAAGUCAAUGGUUAUCUGCUUUGCACACCUUCCUUUAGAAAAUGUUGAUACAGAUAACCCCUCACUAUAGCAAACAAUUUGAAGUCCAAUUUGGCCACCUGUAAGACUUAGCUUAAGAACUGUCAAUAUAAAUUUCAGAAUACCAAAGGUUUUUUUACUAUGUCGAGCAUUCCCAACAUAUUAAAACACUGGGAUGGGUUGGACGAAAAUGAUUAUGAAGUUCCAUAGAUGACUGGACAAAAGGGGCUUGUCUAGAAGAUGCCUUAGAUUAAGGCUGGUGUGGUGGGUGGACUGGAUUAUUUGUUACCCAUAUUAGAAUAUUCCGGAAGUACCCAGUGAAAAUCCUUAAAAUCAGUGGAUGACUCCAGUGACAGGAUUUUUUAGAUCAUAGGCCAGGAAAGCCACCACGAAAUAAGAUGUGUACGGAUAUUAUACUAGGAAGUUACAAGAAGGAAAUUGCUGCAUAGGAAGCAAAAAGUGCUAAUUGCCAUGUUUUAUUGCAGUACCUCAGGUAAGAAAUGAUCCCACAUUAAACUAUACUGCAUUCUUUUAUCCCCUUUAUCCAAAGAAGGAUCAAGUACUGAUAUCCACUGUACAUGACAUAGAUAUGGAGAAUAUGAGAGCCUUAAUCAUUGCAAAAACAUCAAGAACAUAUUGUAUUAUGUGAACAAUAUAUGCUCUACACACUGCAAACUGCCAAGAUUGGAUGAUGCAGAGCAUUUUUAAUAAAUAGUUGAACUGGAAACUAGAUUAAAAGAUGAAACAAUAGUUCAGAAACAAUAGAAAAGAUGAAAUUCAUGAAAAUUAUUAGAAAAAAGAAACUGCAAUCUUAAAAUGAAGUAUAGUGAAAUUUAACAAUUGAUAUGGUGUAUAACUUACUCUGAAAACAAAAUUGACCAUUGGUUAACGUCAAUACUUAAAGACGAUUUCACAGAUAGCCAUGCUAAUGUAAGUCUAUCAUAAUAUAUUUAUCAAAUGGUUUUCUUUAAAAACAAGCAAUUAUUUAUUAUGACAUUGUCACAAUGUUGGGCUGCAAUUUCUAAUCAUAUUUUUAAUUUAAAAUAUAACCUCUCCACCUCAAAUUAGUAGUGACUUGCCCCUGGUACAUCACACUUUUCCUUUAACAAUACAGUUGUGUUUAACAAUACAAUGCCAGUCAUAUCUCUAACACCUUCCAUGGGAAUGUUUUAAUUGAAAUAACGCAACUUCCGGCUUGCAUCGGAAGUUCUUAUAUAGUUAAUUGGGGCCUUCUCCCACUAAGGCUUACGUAUCGUAUUCCGUUCUCGAAAUUAUGAUGAAAAUUUUAAUUGUAAUGUCACUUUAAUGCUAUUUUAAAUACGCAUUCAACAAUUUAUUAUUAUUACAACUGCCAGAUAAACACAUAAGGCACACUAAAUAUAGCAUAAUGGCACCCGUAUUCGAAUGUUUAAAGCUGUUAUAAAAUUUGAUAUUUUUUAUUACGAUCAGUAAA
rnacentral:lncRNA from 1 species